GAAAGCCGUAUGCUUUGGAAGAAGCUUGUAUAGUUUAGGAAGGGGUUUUGAUUGAUGAAAAGAAGAAUCUACUUCAAC
rnacentral:ncRNA from 1 species